UGGUUCAUAGCUCAAUUGGCAGAGCGCCCGCCUGUUAAGUGGAUGGUUCCAGGUUCGAGUCCUGGUGGGCCAG
rnacentral:tRNA from 1 species